GAUGAAGAACGCAGCGAAACGCGAUAUGUAAUGUGAAUUGCAGAAUUUAGUGAAUCAUCGAAUCUUUGAACGCACAUGGCGCCUUCCAGUAUCCUGGGAGGCAUGCCUGUCCGAGCGUCGUUUCAACCCUCGAGCCCUCGUGGCCCGGCGUUGGGGAUCUGCCACGGCAGGCCCCGAAAUACAGUGGCGGACCCGUUAGGCCCUUCCUUUGCGUAGUAGCAUCAGCCUCGCAUCGGGAGCCGGCGGGCUCUCCUGCCUCUAAACCCCCCAACAAGCCCGCUCCGGCGGCACCAAGGUUGACCUCGGAUCAGGUAGGAAUACCCGCUGAACUUAAGCAUAUCAAUAAGCGGAGGA
rnacentral:misc_RNA from 1 species